CAGAGUGUGUUCCCUCUGAUGGAAUUUAUAGCCUAAUGAUAUAAAAAAUAAAGUCUUACUUUUAAGACCCUAUAUAUUUAUUUUAUACUUACUUGCUGGAAUAUCUUUAUCCAUCUGGAAUUUAUUUUGUUCUACCAUGUGCCAAUAACCUAGGUCAGUUUUUACUUAACAGAUGGGCAUUUUUCCUAACACUGUUAUUUAAAUAGGGCUUGUGAUUCUCCCUUUAAAAUGGAAAAGUCAUUAUUAAACCAGAGACUCUGACAGUGAAAGUUUCCCCUUAUUGUUCUUUUGUCUCCCGAAAAUUUCUUAGCUGUUCUUUGUUCUUUCUUUUUGGUAUAAAUUUUAGUAUGGCUCUGUCGGGUGCCAUAACAACGUCCAUGGGGACUGUGACUAUUCUCAUUGGUCUUUUAAAUUAAUUGGGAAACUGUUCAUCUUUACUGUAUCCAGUUUUCCCAUCAACGACCAUGGCAUAUUUCUAUAAAAAUGUUAAUGCUACUCAGGAAAUAGCUGUGGUUUUCUGAUUGCAAAUUUUGUGCAAUUCUUGUUACAGUUCGUCCUUGUAUUUUCUAUUCUUACUUGUUCUUAUGAAAGUGAUCUUCGCCCGUUAUGUCUCUAAUAGGCUGGAAUUCUUUUUGCUGUAUCUAACUUCUUUGGCUGCGUAACACAGUAAUUCUCAGUCCUGUGUACAUGGUCUUAUCGCUCACACAGAAUGAUUUCUGUCAUUGAUGGUAGCUUACUUUCAGUGUGUCUCGUGCUACUGAAUUGUGAGAAUCUUUCAGAAUAUUAAACAGUCACAGUGUUAGAUAUCUUUGCUUGUAGAGAUUUUAACAGGAAUAAAGUCAAUGUUUCUGCAUAGAUUUCAAUUUCAAUUUUCUCAUCUGAAAUGAUGAUUACGAUGUCCACCAGGUUCACACGGGGAAGAAGCAGGAAACUGAAAUAACUGUAAAACCCUCUGUCAGGUGGUCAUAUUAUUUUUAAGCUAGGCUAAGUUAACAUUAAUGACACGAGGACCAGACGGCACUCGUCUUUCUAAGAACCACCAUCUCUGGCUGCUGAAGUUUAACACCCAAUCCUGAAAUGCAGCUUUUCUUUCUCUGUUAACUGUUGACACGUGGAAUCAUUUUCGGGUUGGCAUAGAAAACCAAAGAAAAGGACCAUAAACUUUUAUGAAAAUAUUCUCUGGUCUUAUUGUCCAAAUUUAAAUUCAUAUGUUUCUUAGCCUAGUCACUUGUAGGUAACGACCAAAGAGUUACUUACACUGCUCUGGUAUUCAGUUUCUGCAGAGCAGUUCCUAGCUUUGGCCUUUUGGCCUGGGGCUGGAAAUUGUAGGUGAGCAGGGUCAAAUCCCCUGUCUUCAGCCAGUUUGAUGUGGAAGAUACCUGCUCUGUGUAGGUGGCAGACCUUCCCUGUGCAGGUCCGGUGGAAGAGAUCCCAUGUGUGGUGCGGGACAGCUGGCCCUGCAGAGCUCAGCACAAAGGAGGUGGAGAAGCCAGCACUUUCCCCUGGCCAAAUCUGUCCUCAAGCAGCUGAGCAGACUUCCCUAGAACUGCACACCUUCUGCUGUGAUGAGAAUUCUCCCGCACUUGUUAGAUUGCUUUGCUCUUCUUAAUGCUAUUUUUCAGCAGCUCAACAGAUUUGUUCUUGAGUCAUUUAGACACCAGUCCAUGUUUGUAAAGGAAUAUUUCCAGGCAAAGUCUCGGGAGAGGUAUCGAGUGUGUGACCGUUUCGUGAUAAAGCAGGGAGGUGGCCAUCAAGGUCUCAUGCAUUUACUUCCCUGCCACCUGUGCAAUCUCGUUGGUGCCACUUUCCAUGUUGGUGAGCGGGUUGCUCUUCUGCUUAAAAAUGAGCACUGAACUCCCCAGCUUCUUUGUGGAACCAAUAAAGCUAGCAACAAUAAAAAGAGACAAUGCAUACUGGUCAUUAUAGUGCUGUGUGGGGAGUUUGUUUAAGACUUGAGCCCUAAAUGGUUUUUAAUCCCCGGAUGCACUGAUUGUGAUAAUGCAAGAGAGCCAAACCGCUGUCCGUUAUAAAAUCAUUGCAAAUGCCAGCAGAAUAAAAAAAUGGUUAAGAGGGUCUUGUUACAGAUUCUGCUUAUUCCAGAAGGAUUUGGGGAAAGCAAAUCGGCCGUGAUUCUGUUUGGGAGUUGUUCUUGAAAGAUUGCCUUUGAUGUAGGUAAGCCAAAAGGUUAAAGGAGUAAACAGAAUUUAAAUAUAGCUGGUCUUAGUAAUUUUUCUAUUGUUUGAUUUAACUACCUCCUAACAAAAUUAAAAACAAAACAAAACAAAAACAGCCUGCCGGAGCUAGCCCAGAGUGAAAAUCCUUAGGACAUAAAAGCUGUAAAAUCUUGCUAGGGCUUACCUAUAAAAUAUCAUUUUGAUUUGGGUUCCAGAGAAGUGUUUUAGAUCACAAAUUACAAUAAAUCUCCUGGUCUCCAAUAGUGCCUGUGCGUGUAAAGGACAGCCAAGCAGCACCCGAGGAUGCCAUGAUUAAGGAACUGGGGAGAAGGGUGGAACCGAUUCUGGACUUUAUUUUGGCACCUCGCCGAGCUCCAUGCUACCACAAUUAUUGGUUUUCUGAAAUAUGUCCCUAUGUAUUAUUCUGAUAAGAUUACUUGCAUUGCACAACUCUCUGGGAAUAAGGGAACAAUACCAGAAAAUAAAUCUCUCUCUGAAAUUUAAACUCUGCGUCUGUACACUGUUAAGAAGAACAUCUCCAGUUCUCUGAUAAGAGUUGUAUAUCUUCCCUAACUGAAGUGGGUUUUGUUUUUUAAUUAUCCAUAAUAGAAGCCCACAAACAGGCAAAUGACCGCACAGCUGAUGUUUAUGUAAUGGACAGGGUGUUGAAAUAUAGCUCAUGUUCUCACAAGCCCUGAGUGAUGAAAUUCUAAUUUCCUUUGUAAAAAAAGCCACAGUAGAUUGGCUUGGGGUGCGUAACCCCAAGCAUCACCUUUCCAUGGCUGUAGAGUCGCUAGUGUAAUUCUUUUAGAAAUUUUACUAAUGGUUGGGGGGUGGGUGAACAUAAGGACACAUGUGGUACCAUCCCUUACAACUCUCCUGGUUCCCUUUCCAGCUCUGUGAGGUGUUUCAUUUGAAGGAGGUUUCCGAAAAGGAUUCCUGACUUCCUUUCUAUUGGAUCACUUCAGAAAAAGUGGAGUGAAAUCCAUGGGCCAUUUUGGGUGGCCCCAAAGAUGGCACUCUGCCUCAUUCCUAUGAGCCUCAUUUAAGAUCCACAUGUCUUUGUAUGGUCCUGAUACAGCUUUGCUAAAAUUGGAAGGAAGUUACAGCCAGCACGAUUUUGCUGGCCAUCGUGUUUUGUUUUGAGUAACUUCCUGGUGUUUCGGGACUCAGAAAAUGCUGAUAAUUUGUGAGUAACUGCUGGAGGCAGAGAAAACCCACAUUAAUGGAUACCUCCUCCGUGACAAUCAUCUUACCUCUGUUACCAUUCAAGUUCAUCUUUGCAGCAGUCCUGAUGUCUGGGGACAACGAUCUCCACAUUGUACUGGGAAGCCUGCUGGAAGCUGCCUUCCUGGUGGGCAGGAUCUUUCAAAGCAACGGCUGGUCCGGUUACCCAGAGGUCCUGUGUGCUGGGAUGUCACCAUCACCAUUUCUGGCCCUUCUUGGUGAAAUAUGGCCGUGUGGAGGCCUAAAUGGAUAAGACGUUCUCCGUGAAUAUCUUAGCUCUGAGGUGACUCAUCUCAUCUCACCAUGGGUUAAGGCUGUGGGACAGAAAGGAUUGAGAUGACAGUGACAACCGGUGAUUCUUCUUCAUGUUCCUUGUUACACAGUUGCUAACUCAGCCAGGCUCUGGAGAACAGGAGGAUGGGGGGACAGGAACCUCCUGCCUGCUCAAGGUCCUGGUGGGCUUUCACCUCUCCCCACAGGCUGCAUCAUUAAUUCUUCAGGACAGUGGACAACUCCACUAACCUUAAUCUGAUGACUUCCACAGCCCACAGAGAACCUGCUGCUCAGUACCUGUGGGUUGGGUGAAUUACUGAAUGAUGAUGGCAGGAGAAGUGAGCAGAGGCUCUCUUCACACGGGCUUGAAAGCUCGUAUGUUCUCUUAUAACUGCUACCAUAAAGCUACGUCUCAGAUGUGGUCCUGUGUCUCUCUGGCAGGCAGAGAGACACAAUUACCAGCCCCCCUGAAUCCUGAAGAAUAGCUUUUGCUAGAGGAAAAGUUCUCCCUCCUACGAAGGAGAGAGUAAGUUUUACCCCACCUCAGGUGUUCUUAUCCAAAUCCUCAGAAACUAUGACUGUGCAGGCCAUGGUGAGGGGAAUUGAGGCUGCCAUUCAUCUGGCCUUACAACGGCAAGGACUCUAUACCCUCUCGGUGGGCACAGCAUCAUCAACAUGGUUUGAGGGGCGGAGCAGCAGUAGGAGUGAUGUGUCAUGGGAUGUACCCAGCCUCCUGUCUUCUUCCUUAAUUUGUCUGUGGCUUUGGUCACUUGUGGCCAUUAUUAUUAUUAUUAUUAUUAUUAUUAUUUUGAGGCAGGAUAUUGCUAUGGAGCCUAGGCUGGCCUUGAACUUGUCAUCUUCUUGCUUCAGUCUCCUGGGUGCUAAGGUUACAGGCAUGUGCCACCAUACCUGGCUUGGGUUUUAUUCUUGAACUUAGGAAGAGAGUCUAUUUCAGUACAAUACCCUGAGGCCGUGGUGUUACUACUGAGGCUGUGAAAAUUGACUUCGGUAUGGGAAAUGAUUGAAAAUAUCUCACUAGUCAUUAUAGACUGUAAUAAACUUAGGGAAAAAAAUGUAAUGACCGUAUAUGACUGCUGCUGCUUUGGGCAUUGUCACUCAGAGUGUGGUUACUCCAGAGUCCAUCUUUCCAUGGUGGCAUGCAGGUCUCAGCCCCACUCUCUGACUGUGAGGGCACAGAGUGGCCUCCCCGCCCUGCAGUGUUCACAGGGAAACCCCAGAUGGGUGCAGAGGAUGGGGAGAACAGAGCUUUGGAUGGUCAGCAAGGGUGACAGAAGGCCACUAAUGAUAGACAGCUCCUAUUUCAAGAUUACACUCUUUGCCUUUGCUUAAGAAAAUCUUCACUGUAUUGGCUUUCAACACCCUUCUGGGUGAAAUCUCCAAACUGGGAGAUUGCGUGCAUAAUUACAGCAGCUUUGCAAAUUAGCAGGUCGUGUGGACAAAGCAGCUCAGUAGAACAACUUGUGCUCACCCCUAGCAUCAGUAUUCUGUUUCUGGGACAGAGGAGGUGGGUUGUGCCUCCUUCAGCCAAGUGCAGUUCUCUCCUCUUUAGAUGACCUGGCUGUGCACUCAUCUGAGGAACUCCGUGAAAAUAUUUUGAACAUUACAAAGACACACUUACAAAACUUGAUAAGAGGAGUCGUGAGUGUCCCCACCCACUGGGAGUGCUGAGUUAUAAAGAACACGCUCUCAUCACCUCCUGGACUUGGCUGCACGGUUCAUUCAGGACACACCCCAGAGAUGGCUUCUUCAGUUCAAAGUCACUGACGUCAUUUUGGUGAAGAAUAAGCUCUCGGAGUCCAGUGUUACUCAGGCCAGAUGGUUCAGAGUUUUUGGAAUAUGCCUUCAGCUAUGUCAAGAGAUGUUUCAUAGUCCACUCAUGAGUCUUCUCUAUUUCUUUAUCAGCUACGUGCAUAAAAUCAAGCAGGUGAGCAGCCAAACCACACUUUCUUUGCAUCACCGGUGAAAACUUGAAGACCAUUUGACGAUCUCUUCAGAAUAUCCAGCAAAGAAGGGAAGAAAAGAACAAUACCUAAAGCACCCAAUUCCUGCGUCCAAGCAGACAGUUUAACCCUUGGGUCAUGGUGUGUGUAUUUCACUUACUGGAUCACUAAUAGAUUUUCUUCAUUUGUGCGAGAUGUGGAGAAAGAUGUGUCAGGACCGGCCGGUUCCUCCAGCGCGGGGAUCCCAGGUCCACCUGUAAGGAGAUGGUGGUAAAAGCUGCUGGAGUGGCUGCCUCCUGACAACAUCCCAGCUGUGGACUAGCAAUCGCAAUCCUCGGGUGGCAGUUUUAAUUAUCGGGACGGCGAUACCAUCAGCAAGUGUGUAAUUACGUGUCAGUUUCCUGGCUGUUGGGUAUGAAAAGUGGAUCCAGUGAAAUGAUUGUAGAAACUGUAGGCUCACAUUUAAACAAUUCCAAAUGUGUAACUGGCAGUGUCAUUAAGCAGAGAGAGCCUGACCCCAGCUGUCACUUACUUUUCCUUAUGCAGAUUUGUUCGUGCAGUCUGUCAAGAGAACUCCAUGGGCUGAAAUGGGACGGAAGAGGUGACAUAAUUCUCAGAGCAAAGGGGGCUGCUCUCCUUAACUCACAGAGGUGUUCUUGUAGCCUAAACAAAUAGGACCGCUGAAACUGUAAAUAAACCAAGACCAUUACAGGAGAUGAUACAGACUUUCUCUGAUGAACACACAGAGGCGGAAUACCAGGCACCCUACACUUAAACAUGCAAAGAAAACCUGUCCUGCCUGUUGCCAGGCACUUAAAACAUAAGUGCUGUGGUAAUUAGGAGGGUUUAUUUUUGAAGCAGAAAAACAAAUGACCCUUUUUAUUUUGGACUAAAAUUUGGGGUCCAAGAUGAAAAAAAAGUGAGGCUUAUUUUGACCAGUGCUUCUCAUUGUAUGAACAAUGAGAAAUUUGAUUGGAUGAAGAUAUUAAACUCCAGUAUAGCUUAAGUUAUAAGUGUGAUGGCCUCAGAUGUUUUGAAUACAGUUGGGAAAACUGAAAUACAUAUGCUAAACAAAUGAAGUUAAAAAUAGGCUCGAGCGGCUUUCUAAGGAGGGUGGGCUAAGACAUGAGGAAGAUUCAAAUUUCUGCAAAUGUAAUUACACAGUUCUGCAGCGGACUAACUGAACACUCCUGGGAAUGGGCUCUCAAAACCCUUCCUCUGCUUGGCACAUCCCCAAAAGAGCUGGGUAAGCAAGGGUUAAGUCUGCAUGCAUGCAAAAAGAAAUGCAGAGAGCGUUUCUAAAAUGAACUGUGGGGGUUAAGUGUGGAGUUAAACUAACACAAUGAGCUAUGAACACAAAGAAAAAUGUUUCUUUAAUUUUUAAAAUGUUUCCAUUUCUCAUAAUAAACCAAACUUGCAGUUGCAUACAAACAACAUUAUUUCAUACCCUGAAGACACUGCAAUUUAAAGCGUUCAGAGCUGCGAUUGAUUCUAGAAGCAAGGCUGUAACUGCAGAGCUUUAGCAGUUGUGUCAGUGCACCUCCGUGAUCCCGGCUGAAAGUCAAUGCCCGCACACACGCACACGUGCAGGUAGGAGGCACUUAAAACAGGGUCAACUUUGCAUUUAUUCCUAGUUUCAAAGGCAAAGUAAGUGAUUUUUCUCACAGGCUAAUGGAAGCCAUAUUAAUUGCCAUGGUACAUUCAGAUUUGAAAGUAAUAAAUAGGCACAUAUUAAACCCUCUAAGGAUUAAUUUGUAUUUUAUCAGCUGUGAAAAGGGCAAUUUUUUUACAUAUCUAGACUUAAGAGGUAGCCUUAUUAGGCGUUCAUUGGAAAACAAAUUCUGCAUAUAUUUUGUAGCUAGGU